rnacentral:lncRNA from 1 species
GGAAAUGACCGACCUAAUGUGUGUUAUAACCCAUCUGAGCCCUCUGCAACCACCGGUUUUGAAAUAAGAUUAAGAACUGGCCUUUUCCUAGGUGAUACAAGUAAAAUAAUAACUAGAACAGAAGAAAAAGGAAUCCCCAAACAAGUAACUUUAAGAUUUGAUGCUUGUGCAACCAUUAAUAGUAACAAGCUAGGAACAGGAUGUGGUUCUCUUAACUGGGAAAGGAGCUACAGAGUAGAAAAUAAAUAUGUUUGUCAUGAGUCAGGGGUUUGUGAAAAUUGUGCCUUUUGGCCAUGUGUUAUUUGGGCUACUUGGAAAAAGAACAAAAGGGACCCAGUUCAUCUUCAGAAGGGGGAAGCCAACCCCUCCUGUGCUGCUGGUCACUGUAACCCACUAGAACUAAUAAUUACCAAUCCCCUAGAUCCCCAUUGGAAAAAGGGAGAACACGUAACCCUGGGGAUCGAAGGGACAGGGUUAAACCCCCAGUUGCCAUUUUAGUUCAAGGGGAGGUCCACAAGCACUCUCCCAAACCAGUGUUUCAAACCUUUUCUGAGGAGCUGAAUCUGCCAGCACCAGAACUUCUGAAAAAGACAAAAAAUGUGUUUCUCCAAUUAGCAGAAAAUGUAGCUAAUUCCCUUAGUGUUACUUCUUGUUAUGUAUGUGGGGGAACCACUAUUGGAGACCGAUGGCCUUGGGAAGCCCGAGAGUUGGUGCCCACUGAUCCAGCUCCUGAUAUAAUGGGGGCUCAUCCAGGAUCUCAUCAGGACUGGAGGGCUCUCGCUGGACUAUACUGAAUAUGUGGGCACAGAGCCUACAUUUGGUUACCUAACGAAUGGGCAGGCAGUUGUGUUAUUGGCACUAUUAAGCCAUCCUUUUUCUUAUUAUCCAUAAAAACCACUGGUGUUACCUGUAAAUUCCAGACAUUGUAUGAGAAAGCACUGUAAAACUUUUUGUUCUGUUAGCUGAUGUAUGUAGCCCCCAGUCACAUUCCUUGAUCUAUCUGACCCUUUCACGUGGACCCCUUAGAGUUGUAAGCUCUUAAAAGGGCUAGGAAUUUCUUUUUUGGGGAGCUUGGCUCUUAAGACAUGAGUCUGCCGAUGCUACCGGCCGAAUAAAAACCUCUUCCUUCUUU